CGAGACCACAGGAGAAGCCACUUGCUCCGAGGCGCCUGGGAGGCUGUCUAUUUGACCGCAGGCUCUGCUCUCACCUGGAAGUCUGUAUUCAGGAUGGCUUGUUUGGGCAGUGCCAGGUGGGAGUGGGGCAGGCCCGGCCCCUUUUGCAAGUCACCUCCCCAGUUCUCCAACGCUUACAAGGUGUGCUCCGACAACUCAUGUCCCAAGAGUAAGAGGUGGAACCCUAGAGAUGGGCUAUUCACAUUUGGACUCUCUGGAGAAGCCCAGAGGAGCCUUCUAAGAAGAAGUCACUGGAAAAGGCCAGCUUCCAUCUUCUUAGGACCAGUUCCUCUCACUGGCAUUGUCUGAGUGCUACAGAGCCAAGAACUCUGGAAUCCUCAGCCAGGAUAAUAUUCCACUCACCCAAUUCCUCAUUCAACAAGUAUUUAUUGAGUACUUACUAUGUAGCAGGCAUAGUUUUAGGUAUUUGGAAUGUAUCGGGAAUAAAACAAAGAUCUCUGCUUA
rnacentral:lncRNA from 1 species